rnacentral:lncRNA from 1 species
UUCUAAUAUUAUAUGUUUCUAAACAGUUGUUCCAAAAAGAAUGUUUUUAAAAUUAAAUUUUUCCUUAGGUAAUAUAUACAUGUGAUAGAAAAUUGAAGAUACCGAAGGGUGUGUGCUAAGAAACAAGCCUCUCUGAACUCUGUCUAUAGGGGAUGCACUUCACUUUCAGACCUUGAUCUCAAAAAUACUCAUCUGGACAAAGAUGGUUGCAUAGAUGGUCAUUUGGAAAGAGAUUACUGGAAGACAUUGCUGCUCUGUGAAUCUGGGAUCCCACUUUUCCUGAACAGAACAAUUGAUAGCAACAAAGCUUCCUUCACACUGAAGACCAGCUCCAGGCAGGAAGAAAUGAAGCACUCCAGGUAAUAAAAUAUAUGCAAGAGA